rnacentral:misc_RNA from 1 species
UUUCCGUAGGUGAACCUGCGGAUGGAUCAUUCCCGCUUCUAUUUGAAGGGGGGACAUUCUCCAUGACCCACCCUUCUGUGCACUUUGGGGGGCCUCGAGUGGGUGUCCUCCCGGUAACGAACGCCCUUGUCUCUAGCGUGUAUUUUCAGAAACCCCUUCUGAAGGGUGGAAAGUCUUUGACACACAACUUUCAACAACGGAUCUCUUGGCUUUC